rnacentral:rRNA from 1 species
CACACCCGUUCCCAUGCCGAACACGGAAGUUAAGCUCUUCAGCGCCGAUGGUAGUUGGGGGAUCUCCCCCUGCAAGAGUAGGACGUUGCCAGGC